ensembl:snRNA U12 U12 minor spliceosomal RNA
UUGCUUUAACCUUAUAAGUAAAAAAAAAAAAAAAAAGAUUCAGGGUGAUGACUGAUUCUUCACUGCUAAUGUGAAGUAAAUUUUUGAACUGGUAAAGUUUUCCCCUAAGGUGACCUGCCUACUUUGCAGAAUGCCUGGGAAUGAUCUGUCCAU